rnacentral:rRNA from 1 species
UGGGGAAUAUUGGGCAAUGGGCGAAAGCCUGACCCAGCAACGCCGCGUGAAGGAAGAAGGUUUUCGGAUCGUAAACUUCUAUCCUUGGUGAAAAUAAUGAUGGUAGCCAAGAAGGAAGCCCCGGCUAACUACGUGCCAGCAGCCGCGGUAAUACGUAGGGGGCAAGCGUUGUCCGGAAUGAUUGGGCGUAAAGGGCGCGUAGGCGGCCUGGUAAGUCUGGAGUGAAAGUCCUGCUUUUAAGGUGGGAAUUGCUUUGGAUACUGUCGGGCUUGAGUGCAGGAGAGGUAAGUGGAAUUCCCGGUGUAGCGGUGAAAUGCGUAGAGAUCGGGAGGAACACCAGUGGCGAAGGCGACUUACUGGACUGUACCUGACGCUGAGGCGCAAAAGCGUGGGGAGCGAACA